rnacentral:rRNA from 1 species
AACGGUAACGCGGACUUCGGUCUGGCGACGAGUGGCGAACGGGUGAGUAAUGCAUCGGAACGUAUCCAUUUGUGGGGGAUAGCCCGGCGAAAGCCGGAUUAAUACCGCAUAAUCUCUGAGGAGGAAAGUGGGGGACCUUCGGGCCUUACGCUGAUGGAGCGGCUGAUGUCGGAUUAGCUUGUUGGUAGGGUAAAGGCCUACCAAGGCGACGAUCCGUAGCUGGUCUGAGAGGACGACCAGCCACACUGGAACUGAGACACGGUCCAGACUCCUACGGGAGGCAGCAGUGGGGAAUUUUGGACAAUGGGGGCAACCCUGAUCCAGCCAUGCCGCGUGCGGGAAGAAGGCCUUCGGGUUGUAAACCGCUUUCAGACGGAAAGAAACAGUACAAGCUAAUACCUUGUACGAAUGACGGUACCGUCAGAAGAAGCACCGGCUAACUACGUGCCAGCAGCCGCGGUAAUACGUAGGGUGCGAGCGUUAAUCGGAAUUACUGGGCGUAAAGAGUGCGCAGGCGGCUCUCUAAGACAGGUGUGAAAUCCCCGGGCUUAACCUGGGAAUGGCGCUUGUGACUGGAGAGCUAGAGUGUGGCAGAGGGGAAUGGAAUUCCUGGUGUAGCAGUGAAAUGUGUAGAUAUCAGGAGGAACACCGAUGGCGAAGGCAGUUCCCUGGGCCAACACUGACGCUCAUGCACGAAAGCGUGGGGAGCAAACAGGAUUAGAUACCCUGGUAGUCCACGCCCUAAACGAUGUCAACUAGUUGUUGGGGAAGGAGACUUCUUUAGUAACGUAGCUAACGCGUGAAGUUGACCGCCUGGGGAGUACGGCCGCAAGGUUAAA